UUGAUAGGAAAUGCCGGCUGACCGAUAUAUGAAGCUAGAAUGCAACUGAUUGUUUAUAUUCCAAAAAUCCUAUCCCUCAAAUAAAGAGGAAAAUAUAAAAUGUAUACAUUCUAUUUUUCAGAUCCCUGAAUGACUAAGCAUUACAAGUAUAAAGAUCCUACAGCAGAGAUCCAACCUUGUAUUAAAUGGUGGUGCAUUUUUUCAUCAGUGAACCUUAUGAACAUCACAUCAGUUAAGGCUGAACAAAUUCUAUGCAAGAAUUGGGAGAACGUGACCAAUGAUGAAAGGUUAGUAAAAACUAGAACUAGAACCAACAUUCUUAAAAAAUGUUUUGAAGGAAGUUCUCUGAAGGUAAUGGCCAGAGAUGAAACUUUUUUUGAUCUUUGGUAUCACACCUAUUCAACAGAAUUUGAGUUUUAAAAUCCUUAGUAACAUUACACAAAUACUCCAUCAGUCUCAAUUGUGAAUCACUGUUAUCUGAGUUUCUGGGCACAUCUUAGGAAAUUGGUCAAUCCUGCAUCAGACGGAAUAGCAGCACUAGCCUGUCACUAGCUCUUAUCAAUUCCAUCUGCAUUUUUGUGGGACUUGAUUUGGGUCAUUGACUGGCUACACUUCAAGGGUAUUUUGUCAAAACUACAAGUCAAAAAACAAUUGAUAUUUUGAUGAGGAUUACCAUGAAUGUAUUUGCUUUAUGAAAGUAGAACUGGCCAUCACUUUUUUGAGAACUGUGUAUAGAUAUUAUUUUGCUACAUUUUAAUAUUGUGAUGAACCAAAUUUGAUAGGAAAUGCCGGCUGACCGAUAUAUGAAGCUAGAUUGCCACUGACUGUGUAUAUGAAAAAUCGUCUCUCUCCAUAACAAAGAAAAAAGAAAAAUGUUGUAUUUCUCUUUUCAGAUCCCUAAGUAAAUAAGCUUUAGAAGAAUGAAGAACCAGUUGGAGAAACCAGCAUUAUUGUAAAAUGGCAAAAAGAAUUCAGUGUAAGAAUUGGAAGACUGCCAAUGAAAGGUUAGUAAGCCCUUUUUGAUAAAACUAGAUCUAGAUUGAAUAACCAACAUUUUUGCAUUGUUGAUGAAAAUAAUAUAAAGGUAAUGGCCAGAGCUGUGAAACCCUUCUAUAAUUUGCUAACAAAUAACCUUUAUCACAUAAUGAGUUGAUCAACAAUUUGAAAUGAAGAUUAUAGUUUUGACAGUAUCCAUCCCAAAAUUUACUAGCUAAACAACAAAAUUGUUUUGAGAAGACACAGAAAAUCCUUUGUCUUAACAUUAACCCAGUCUCAAGGAAAAUGAUGCAUACACUGUAGUAUUGUAUUUUGAAAUAUCUGUAUAAAGAUAGGUCUAUAAGUAUUAAGCCACAAUUUACAGACGACCUGAUUUUCUUUCCUUGAGUUUGCAGGAUUUUUUUACUAAUGGUAUCAAUAUCGAUGCUGUUAUUUUUAUUAUUAUUGACAUUACUGAUGGCAAUAUUAGAUACCAGAAAAUAUUUUUUGGAAAUCAAAGAAAAGGCUAAACAUGUAAGACAGGUAGUACUCUUAAUUGGCUCAAUGGUGACUAGGUAUUUGUGGAGCCUUUUGUGUGGAGAAAGAAAAUGAAAAUAAAAAAAUUAAACUCGAUAGGCAUGAGAUGUAUGUACAUGCUAUCCUCAGCGGCUAUGGGUUAAUACACUGUGUAUAUGCUUGUCUUGAUUCACUUUUUACCAACACAUAUUCAUGUGUGUGCUCUUAACCCAAUGGCGCCGGGUGUACAAAACAAAACAAAACAAA